rnacentral:tRNA from 1 species
GCAGUCGUGGCCGAGUGGUUAAGGCGAUGGACUACAAAUGCUUUGGGGCUCCCCGCACUGGUUCGAAUCCUUGCAACUGCA